GACGAACGCUGGCGGCGUGCUUAACACAUGCAAGUCGAACGGAAAGGCCCUGCUUUUGUGGGGUGCUCGAGUGGCGAACGGGUGAGUAACACGUGAGUAACCUGCCCUUGACUUUGGGAUAACUUCAGGAAACUGGGGCUAAUACCGGAUAGGAGCUCCUGCUGCAUGGUGGGGGUUGGAAAGUUUCGGCGGUUGGGGAUGGACUCGCGGCUUAUCAGCUUGUUGGUGGGGUAGUGGCUUACCAAGGCUUUGACGGGUAGCCGGCCUGAGAGGGUGACCGGCCACAUUGGGACUGAGAUACGGCGCAGACUCCUACGGGAGGCAGCAGUGGGGAAUAUUGCACAAUGGGCGGAAGCCUGAUGCAGCAACGCCGCGUGCGGGAUGACGGCCUUCGGGUUGUAAACCGCUUUCGCCUGAGACGAAGCGUGAGUGACGGUAAUGGGUAAAGAAGCACCGGCUAACUACGUG
rnacentral:rRNA from 1 species